AAUGUCAAUUGUUUAAGGAGACAGGAAAAUUAGACGCAGUGCGUUCUUGGAUGUUAAAAAUACCACCGCUUGAUCCGAGUCGUUGCAUUAAAUUCAAAAUUAGGCUAUAAAUACAGGCAGAUCAGAUCGAACGAUCCAGAUGGGAUUAUAUCUCUCGACCUGGAUUACAAACCUAAAAGUAAAGACCCACAAAGUUCCAGACGGUGACCCGACUGGAGAUCCGCCAUUCGGCCACCUCAGGACGGCUUACCGGUGCAGAUCGGUUCGUCUCGCCAUCACUGACACUCCUCUAGUCGUGAUUUAGCCAUACAUGGAGCAAGGAGCGAGAAUCGAACGUUGAAAGUCUCAGGUUCUCUGGCGGUUUCUUUGCAAAUUCCGACGACUUGGGUGAUGUUUUGAAGUGCGUGAGUUUGCGCUGGUGGUUUCGAAUUUGCUUCGGUUGUUCUGGUUCGAUUCAGUGUGUUGGGGCGAUAUUGACGAUUGGUAUGCUAAAAAUGCUGAAUUGGUGAAUUGGUGGAGAAUGAAUGAGAGCAAAUGGAAGAUUUUCUCAGUCUGCCGUGCACUUCUUCAAAAGGCUAACUAGCCAAUUUGGAGCUUUGCUUAUGGUCAAGUUUGAUACUAAGGUUACGUGGUUUUCUUGGAGGUUCUGAGAAAUGUAUUAUGUGUAUAUGACAUGUUAUGCUACAUACAAUGAUACCACAAAUCUUGGACCUUAAUUAUUUGAGGCCAACAAUCAAUCGUGCAAUUUAGUUUUGAGGUAUUGGUUUUUGGUUUUAAAGGAAGUAACCCAAUCCCUACCCAGAAAUCAUUUUUAGAAAGUUGACAAAAAGGUGAAAUUUUUGGCUUCUCUGAAUACUCCUUGGUUUUGGUGGGAUGUCAUUUUGAGAAAAUGCUAUGAAAUGUGUAGCAUUCUACUACCGAGAAGACUUCUUUCUCUUCUUUGCUGUGCAUUGAAUUGGUUUUUUGUUUUUGAUUGUGAUUUAAACUUCUGUAAAUUGAAUACACUACGUGAAUGGAAAAGGAUCAUGUGUUGUGAUAAUUUUUCCUCUACUUUUCAAAGCUUCAAAAGGCAACGACUUUUGGAAAACACAUUUAUUUGCUUUCAAGUUCCGGAUGAGGAUGAACUCAUACAUUUUCUUUGGCACAUGGGCUUCAUAUUAUUUUCUUUUACAAGUAUGUUGUAUGCCAGUUCGAUUUUGUUUUAAUGAUGUGUGCUUAUUGGGUUGCUAAAUGAUUGUUAAAUGCUGGCUCUUUUGCUUGAGUACCAUAAGUCCAUAAUGAUAGAAUUGAUUUAAUCUUAGAUAUGAUUUUAUAUCAAUCUUAUGGACACAAUUACUGUAAUUGAGGGGUUGUAUGGGAAUACUCUCAUUUCUAUGGCUCUGAUGGUACAAUUUUCAUAAAAGUCAAAAGAAAAAAGAUCCUACUUUGUUGCAUUGAGUUCUUUAGGCUUCAGUUCUUCUGUACUCGAUUAUAUGAUUUACAUUAGUAAAGCUUGGGAUGGCAGUUUCAGGAGAUGAAAAAACAAUUUGGAAAUGAUAUUGUGUUAGUUUUGCUGAAUUGUUAAAGUAUGCUUAUAGUUAUCGAAUGUGCUUCUGUGUUUUUCUUUAAAUGUUUUGCUUCAGGUACAUGCCAAUGUUGCUGGAACAGACCAACCAAAAUGGUGGGAAAGAAGUGUUCCGAAGUGCUUUACGUCAAGCUGGAGAUAUAGAUAAGUUGUUAUAGAAUUCUACGGAAGGCACUGUCUCUGGAUUUUGAGCAAUAGAAGAACUCUAUGCAGUAGUGAUUCUGUUUGGAAGGCCUUGGUUUUUUAUGCCAAAAAUUGUAAAUGCUUCUUUAAUGUUGAUCAAGACAAGGAUUUGGCAAGGUCAUAGUAGACGUAAAGAAAGUGUUGGACCAAUUUGAUGAUUUGCUCAAUGCCGACAACAUAAUUUUCAAAAAUGCUAGAUGCAAGGUGCUUUUUAGUGAUAACUUUUUGAAGUUAUUCAAGAAACUGAUAUCGGCCUGAUUGGAGAAGUCAGCACUCAGCAGUAAAUCUUCUACUAAAGCUUUCAUGUGGCUAGGGACCCAAGAAGCGCAGUGUAGAGAGAAGUUGUAGUAGCUCUUCACUAAUCUUGAAGAAAUUUAAGGUUAAAUCUCAUUGUUUGCACAACAAGCUAUUGCAAAAAAGAUAUGAGAUACAUUCAAAUGUUAAAGGUCUGAGACAUAUUGCCUCUGGAGGAUAUCCCAAAGUUGGAAUAUAAUAUCUCCCGGAGACUGUUUUAAACAGAUAUGCAGAUUAUAUAUAUAUAUAUAUAGAUGAAAUACAUAAAGCUACUGCUUAA